rnacentral:rRNA from 1 species
CCUACGGGGUGCAGCAGUGGGGAAUAUUGGACAAUGGGCGAAAGCCUGAUCCAGCCAUGCCGCGUGUGUGAAGAAGGCCUUCGGGUUGUAAAGCACUUUCAGUGGGGAAGAAAGCCUUGGGGCUAAUACCCUCGAGGAAGGACAUCACCCACAGAAGAAGCACCGGCUAACUCCGUGCCAGCAGCCGCGGUAAUACGGAGGGUGCGAGCGUUAAUCGGAAUUACUGGGCGUAAAGCGCGCGUAGGCGGUCUGAUAAGCCGGUUGUGAAAGCCCCGGGCUCAACCUGGGAACGGCAUCCGGAACUGUCAGGCUAGAGUGCAGGAGAGGAAGGUAGAAUUCCCGGUGUAGCAGUGAAAUGCGUAGAGAUCGGGAGGAAUACCAGUGGCGAAGGCGGCCUUCUGGACUGACACUGACGCUGAGGUGCGAAAGCGUGGGUAGCAAACAGGAUUGGAUACCCGGGUAGUC